rnacentral:rRNA from 1 species
AUUGAACGCUAGCGGGAUGCUUUACACAUGCAAGUCGAACGAGUGGCGGACGGGUGAGUAAUAUAUCGGAACGUGCCCAGUAGCGGGGGAUAACUACUCGAAAGAGUUGCUAAUACCGCAUACUCUUGGAUCGGCCGAUAUCGGCUUAGCUGGUGGGUGGGGUAAACGCUCACCAAGGCAACGAUCCGGAGCUGGUUUGAGAGGACGCCAAGCCACAAGGGGACUGUGACACGGCCCAGACUCCUACGGUAGGCAGCAGUGGGGAAUUUUGGACAAUGGGGGAAACCCGGAUCCAGCCAUCCCGCGUGUAUGAGAAGGCCUUCGGGUUGUAAAGUACUUUUGGCAGAGAAGCGGUAUCUGCAGAAUAAGCACCGGCUAACUCCGUGCCAGCAGCCGCGGUAAUAC